rnacentral:rRNA from 1 species
GAUGAACGCUAGCGGGAGGCUUAAUACAUGCAAGUCGUACGGUAACAGUCUCGGCCUAGCCGAGAGCUGACGAGUGGCGGACGGGUGAGUAACGCGUACACGAUCUACCUAUAAGUCUGG